rnacentral:tRNA from 2 species
AGCGGAGUAGAGCAGUCUGGUAGCUCGCCAGCCUCCUUAGCUGGAAGUCAGAGGUUCAAAUCCUCUCUCCGCAA